rnacentral:rRNA from 1 species
GGAAGUGAACCAUCUCAGUACCCGGAGGAAAAGAAAUCAACCGAGAUUCCGAAAGUAGCGGCGAGCGAAAUCGGAACAGCCCAAACCCCGGUGCUUGCACCGGGGGGUUGUAGGACCGCGUGAGUAGAGUUACCAAUCCGGAGGCUAGGUGAACCUGCUGGAAAGCAGGGCCAGAGGGUGUGAUAGCCACGUAGCCGAAAGCUUACCGGACUCGAAGCGGCAUCCUGAGUACCACGGGACACGGGAAAUCCCGUGGGAAGCUGGGGAGACCACUCUCCAAGGCUAAAUACUCGUUGGCGACCGAUAGUGAACCAGUACCGUGAGGGAAAGGUGAAAAGAACCCCUGCGAGGGGAGUGAAAUAGAACCUGAAACCGCAUGCCUACAAGCAGUCGGAGGGCUAUGGUCCCGGUCUUCGGACCGGGAAAAAGCCUGACGGCGUGCCUCUUGCAUAAUGAGCCGGCUAGUU